rnacentral:rRNA from 1 species
CGUGAGUAACCUGCCUUGGAGUGGGGAAUAACACAGUGAAAACUGUGCUAAUACCGCAUAAUGCAUUUGGGUCGCAUGAUUCUGAAUGCCAAAGAUUUAUCGCUCUGAGAUGGACUCGCGUCUGAUUAGCUAGUUGGCGGGGUAACGGCCCACCAAGGCGACGAUCAGUAGCCGGACUGAGAGGUUGGCCGGCCACAUUGGGACUGAGACACGGCCCAG